rnacentral:rRNA from 1 species
AUUGAACGCUGGCGGCGUGCUUAACACAUGCAAGUCGAACGAAGUGGCGAACGGGUGAGUAACGCGUAAUCAACCUGCACUUCAGAGGGGGCCAACAGGUGGAAACGACUGCUAAUACCGCAUACUGAAGGAGGGGAUUGCGUCUGAUUAGCUAGUUGGAGGGGUAACGGCCCACCAAGGCGAUGAUCAGUAGCCGGUCUGAUAGAAUGAACGGCCACAUUGGGACUGAGACACGGCCCAGAGUCCUACGGGAGGCAACAGUGGGGAAUCUUCCGCAAUGGACGAAAGUCUGACGGAGCAACGCCGCGUGAGUGAUGACGGCCGUCGGGUUGUAAAGCUCUGUUAAUCGGGACGCGGUACCGGAAUAGAAAGCCACGGCUAACUACGUGCCAGCCGCCGCGGUAAUAC